CAUGGUUCGCUCAUAACUUUGGAUGGAACUUGACAAAAAAAAAGAUAUGAGCCUCUUUCAGGAACGAAAGGUUAUAAAUAUACAAGAUUCAAUAUUCAGUUGCGAGAAUUUCGUUGUAUGGCGUAUGGGAAGUUAGAAUAAAAAUAGGAAUGUGCGAAAUUGUAGGGAAAAUCAAAACAAAAAUAUUGAAACGUCGUCGUUUGAGAUGAGGGAAAGAGAAAAAAAAAAAAAACCCGCUUCGUCGUCGUUAUGUUUUUGACUAGAAAAGUGUAGAAAGAGGGGAGGAGAGGAGAGACGAACCUGAUUUUGAGUGUUUCUUGUUGAUAUUUUGUUUUCCAUAGAAAAAAGGCUUUGAGAAGAUUCACAAUUUUAGAGUCUACACGUUACUUGCCUCAGAUAACAUCUUCAGUCUUUGAACCAACUGUUUUUGGAGAAUUUAUCCCUGAAUAUAGUAUUUCUUUU